CGCAACCCUUGCCUUUAGUUGCCAGCAGUUCGGCUGGGCACUCUAAAGGGACUGCCGGUGUUAAACCGGAGGAAGUGGGGGAUGACGGUCAAGUCCUCAUGGCCUUUAUGACCAGGGCUACACACGUACUACAAUGGCCGAUACAAAGGGCAGCGACACUGCGAGGUGAAGCCGAUCCCGUAAAAUCGGUCUCAGUCCGGAUUGGAGUCUGCAACUCGACUCCAUGAAGUUGGAAUCGCUAGUAAUCGUGGAUCAGCAUGCCACGGUGAAUACGUUCCCGGGCCUU
rnacentral:rRNA from 1 species